rnacentral:rRNA from 1 species
AACUCAAAGGAAUUGACGGGGGCCCGCACAAGCGGAGGAACAUGUGGUUUAAUUCGAUGAUACGCGAGGAACCUUACCUGGGCUUAAAUGGGGAGUGACAGCUGUCGAAAGAUGGUUUUCUUCGGACACUCUUCAAGGUGCUGCAUGGUUGUCGUCAGCUCGUGCCGUGAGGUGUCGGGUUAAGUCCCAUAACGAGCGCAACCCUUACCGUUAGUUACCAUCAGGUUAAGCUGGGGACUCUAGCGGGACUGCCACCGUAAGGUGAGAGGAAGGUGGGGAUGACGUCAAAUCAGCACGGCCCUUAUGUCCAGGGCUACACACGUGUUACAAUGGCCGGUACAAAGGGCAGCUACUUCGCGAGAAGAUGCUAAUCUCGAAAGCCGGUCUCAGUUCGGAUCGAAGUCUGCAACCCGACUUCGUGAAGCUGGAUUCGCUAGUAAUCGCGCAUCCAGCCAUGGCGCGGUGAAUACGUUCCCGGGCCUU